UACAGAGGUCUCAAGCGUUGUUCGGAUUCAUUGGGCGUAAAGGGUGCGUAGGCGGCGCGGUAAGUCGGGUGUGAAAUCUCGGAGCUUAACUCCGAAACUGCAUUCGAUACUGCCGUGCUUGAGGACUGGAGAGGAGACUGGAAUUUACGGUGUAGCGGUGAAAUGCGUAGAGAUCGGGAGGAACACCAGAGGCGAAGGCGGCGACCUGGACAGGUACUGACGCUGAUGUGCGAAAGCGUGGGGAGCAAACAGG
rnacentral:rRNA from 1 species